rnacentral:misc_RNA from 1 species
GUUGAAAAACAAUUUUAAUAGCUAAAUAACGAAUAGAUGGAAGUUAGAAUAUUUAUUAUAAUAGCUAAAUAACUCUGAAAGAUGGUGCCGAGGGUUAUGAUAGUUUGUAAUUUUUGAUAUUUCUGGGUUUCAUGAGGAAACGACUGGAGAGAGUAUAGUUAAUUGUAAGUUAAAUGGACAGAAAUAUGGAGUAACAUGGAGUUCGCUGAACGACAUCCAUAGGAGCUGGCUGGCUAACUUCAAGUUCGGUCUAAACGCUUUUUGAAGUUUUAGUUGAUCUGGAGAGAGAAGUUACUGUUUUUCCCCAGUAAUUAGACUUAUUUAUAUUUAUUUUAUCAAACAUUACUAGUACUAAAAAUUAGUUUCGUCGAGUUCAGUCAGGAAGAACACAACCAUUAACGGCUGAGAGGGUUAAGUA